UUUUUAUUUUUGUAUGUAGUAUGCCUUUAAACAUUGCUUUUAGAUUUGUUUUCUCUUAACUGCAUUUUGUCAAGCAACUAUGCACAAAGUGAUUUCAAACCUAUAUUAAGAGUGAAUUCUUUCCAAUACCUGAAGUUAGGGUUUAAAAAAAAAAAAAAAAAAGUGAGGUCUGCUGGGUGCUACUUAUGCACUCACAUGUUGCAGAGCUGAAAGUCAUCGGCAUAUCCUCAUUUCCACUAACAGCUAUUAAUCAGAACUAAAUGACUUUCAUUUGAGCAACUCAACCUGCAUUCGAUUUGGCUGUUUUAAAGCUUUCUCACGGCAUGUGUAGGUUUGACAACCAGGUAACUCAGAGCUGUGUUCGGUGUGAUUUUUCUAAUUUGGAAACCCAUCUGUUACCACUUUGGGUAUUAACAAAACAAUAUGAGAAUUAGCGCCACUUUAGGCAUUCUCAGCCCAUCUUUGAGAAAAGCAUCUUAACCCCAAAUUUUAAUUUGAAUUCUAAAACAUUUUUUCUUUAAAAUCAUUCUAGAGAACGCUCCAAGCACUGUAGUGGUUAUGGUGCCAUAAGGGCCCUAGCAACCUCUAUUGUAAUAAGUAAAACCAAUUUAGAAUAAUUUGACUUCUUGCCUUGGGUCUGCAAAGCACCACUCCUUGACUCCAUUGAUUCUAGCCAGGAGCCAGAUGUUCCUAAGCUGGGGUAGCCCAUUGAUUGAGAGCGUUAGCUGAUCAAACUCGGCCAAUAAGCUGAGCCCUGUACCAUUGGACGUAGCAUAUAUAGAGAGCUUUUGGCCCUCUGUCCAAUGUAGUGAAGGUCGGGAGUGGUGGGUUGCAAGGGCACUUACAUUCAGCAGGGUGCCGGGGCACUUCUGGAACCAUAACCACUACAGCACUUAUAGUGGCCUAAUAGGUUUUGUUCUGUGACUGUGUUAGUAUAUGAAUCUUGAGUGCAAGAGGCAUUGUUAGUUAAAGACUAAAUGGUUUUGACAAAUUUUGCCUGUAACGUUCGAUCACAG